CCAUAGUCGCAGCGUCGUGGUUCUUCAGACCUGCUUGUCUGGAGCUAAGAGGGAAUACGGUGCGCGUGCGAUCGCCUGCGAUCCGCGCAAUGCCGCAGCUGCCCCCGCAACUGUAAACGGCGAGCCUUGUCCACCAGUGUCACUGGGGCGAAAGCCUCGGGAAGGCCGGACACAGGCGACGACCCGUGAGCCAGGAGACCUGCCGCGACAUUGUAACGUCC
rnacentral:ncRNA from 2 species